rnacentral:rRNA from 1 species
GAGAGUUAAAUAGUACGUGAAAUUGUUGAAAGGGAAACGAUUGAAGCCAGUCGUACCUAUGGGUAAUCAGCCUUUUGGGUGUGAUUUUGUGGAGCGUGAGGAGUUAAACGCCUUCAUGCCUGCAUAUUCGUGCACUUUGGGUGUACUUGCCCGUAUGGUUGGUUAACAUCAAUUUUGGUGGUCAUAAAAUGACUGGAGGAAUGUAGCUUCGAUCUCGUAUUGAAGUGUUAUAGCCUUCGGUAGAUGUGAUGAUCGAGAUUGAGGAUUGCAACGGAUACCCUUCGGGGCUACCUGUCUGAUCUCUGAUCGUUGCUCUGGUGCCGAAAGCUUGCUUACGGUUAUCAAAGUCGAUGGUCAAUAGGUUAGAACGGGUUAAAUUCGUUAAGGAUGUUGACGUAAUGGCUUUAAACGA